GCUAGGAUGGUCUAGUGGUAUGACGUUCGCCUCACACGCGAAAGGUCCCGGGUUCGAGACCCGGUCUUAGUA